AGCAGCCGCGGUAAUUCCAGCUCCAAUAGCGUAUAUUAAAGUUGUUGCAGUUAAAAAGCUCGUAGUUGAAUUUCGGGAUCAAAGAAUCGGUCAUGCCUUGGUAUGUACUGGUUUUAUUGGUUCUCACCUUCUAAAGAACCAUGAUGUCAUUCAUUUGAUGUUAUGGGGAAUUAGGACUGUUACCUUGAAAAAAUUAGAGUGUUUAAAGCAAGCUUACGCUUGAAUACAUUAGCAUGGAAUAAUGAAAUAGGACAUCAGAUUCUAUUUUGUUGGUUUCUAGGAUCGAUGUAAUGAUUAAUAGGGAUAGUUGGGGGCAUUAGUAUUCAAUUGUCAGAGGUGAAAUUCUUGGAUUUAUUGAAGACUAACUACUGCGAAAGCAUUUGCCAAGGAUGUUUUCGUUAAUCAAGAACGAAAGUUAGGGGAUCGAAGACGAUCAGAUACCGUCGUAGUCUUAACCAUAAACUAUGCCGACUAGGGAUCGGAUGAUGUUAAUUUUUUAAUGACUCAUUCGGCACCUUAC
rnacentral:misc_RNA from 1 species